UCACAAACCCCUUUCACUGUGUGCCCAGCCCUGGCCAACAAGGGCUUAUUCAGCACCGGCCUGUGUCCCGUUGCUGGGGAGGGCAGGGCCGGAGCGGGAAGAACAUUUGUGUAACGUGGAAGGCAUGCUUCUCUCAAAGGGUGGGAGCAGGCGAUUCCCAGAGAAGGACACGCAGGGAGGCCGUCCGUCGGUGACCAGACGCCUGACCUCAUACACCGGCAAUGAUGCACAUGUCAGACCCAGCUUGUAGCCGCUCAGCCCACCCGACAGACAGCACCAGUGCCCAGUGGCAGCCAGCCCCAUGCAGAUGAAAGAAAAAGGCACAGCCCAGGGCGGAUGCUUCUGAGGUGCAGGUGCCUGUCUGUCAUCGGGCAGGAGCCCGCAGGUGGACAGCAUGGGGCCCGCACACCUGGGGACCGGGCGAGGGGUGUGGAGCGCCGUGGGGCACCCUGCAGCAUCGGGUACAUCUGCGUGUGGACAGCAGGACAUCAAGAGUCGAAAAGGACCCGGGGUGAGGAAAGAGACAUGCCGGUCACUCAAUGAAAUAACCAUGGAAACGCUGGAUUCAGCGGAGGCGUCCACCUGCCCAGCCGCUCCCCCCGGAACUUCCUCCUUCAGUCCGGGGACCGCAUCCAGCUUCUCCGGGGCCCGCGUGAAACAGGCUCGCCCCUCACCCGGCAGCCACCCAGAGUCCCGGCUUAUCCAUCACUGUCAGGCUCCGAGAGCAGCUCUGUUCUGAAUGCCCGGCCGCUUCUGCAACACACAGGAGGGAACAGGGGUCCACGUGAGACCGGCCACUGGCAGAGGCCUGGGUCAGGCUGAAAGGUGCCUUGCGAGAUGGGCACUCGCCAGCCUGCUCCAGCCAGAGCCCAGUUCCUUCUGAGAAUCACACGGCCAGACAGAGGCUUGCUGAGAAGUGGGUGUCCUCCUCUCUGUCCAGCCCCAGCUGCACGGAAGCGAAGCCGGCCCCAGCGUGACUGAGUCCAGAGCCCAGCCCUGAGCACUCACCAAGGGCCAGGACGAGUCAGUGUGUGGGGCAGGUGCCGCCCCCACGACCUCAUUCCCAAGCUCCCUCUGUGUCCCCGCAGCCCGUGCUGGCCAGGGAGGCAGGAGGGCAUGGCAGGUGCUCCCAGAGCUCGCUUCUCUGCGCGUUCCCGCCGCCCUCCCUCCCUGGUCCUGCGGGCUGCCGGCCUCAGGAUCCAGGUCACCUUAGGUGGCAAAGUUGGAGCCGUGCCCCACCUGCCUUCACUGGCUCAUGUUGACUCCUUCAUCUACGAGACAGUCUGAGCUUGAGGCUUGGAAACUCUCCUCUGCCGGACCUAGCUCUGGGCCAUGGAUGCACAGAGCCCUGAGCUCAGAGACCAGGAGAGGCUGGCACCAUGCUCCACCCAGCAGGUGGCUCCAGGUCAUCUGGAGUGUCCCAAAGCUGCAAGGCUGAGGGAGGCUCCCCCUUCCUGGAGGGGCCCAGGCAGCCCUUGGGAUGGAGCCAGGGACGGUCCCUGACCCCAGGAGCUCCCUCUCCUCCCACGCCUUCCACAGACCCAUCUCCCUCAGGACUGCCUUAACUUGGGGUCACCUAGAAAUAGGUUUAUGGGGAGGCCAUCCCAGGGAACUUUCGCAGGAAUGAGGGCUGAGAUGGGGAAGGGCUGUUGUCACCACCAUGGGGGAUUGCUCCAGUGAGAGGGCCAGCACGGGACCCUCAGAGUCUUCCCACCCAAGGGUCAUGAGAUCCGGGUCAGAGGUCACAGGCUGCUCCUAGGGCCUCUAGAUCUCUGGAGAGCCCUUGGCUGCAGUUUGCCGAUGCCAAUGGCUGGAGGUCAGCUGGCACUCCCACCACGAUGGCCAGCGGACAACAACAGUGUGGGCACAGUGAUGGGCACCCCCCCGUGUCCACUCGGCCGGGCUGCAGUGCCCAGCGGCACGGUCAAGCCCCAUCCAGAUGCCACUGUGGCUGUGCUGCAGGUGUGAUGGACACGCACAAUUGGCUAAUUGCAAGUGCUGCAGAUCACGAGAUGUGGCUGGGCCUCAGCUGCAGCUGAAGAUGAACGCCGAGGCUUCCUGGAGAAGGAUUUCUGCCCCAAGACUGCAACAUAAAAUCCUGCCCGGGCUCCCAGCCUGCUCCCCUGCGGGUCUGCCCUGCAGAUUUCAGAUUCAUCAGCCUGGACCAUCACAUGGGCCAGCGCAUUAAAUCAAUCUCCCUGUGUCUGUGUCUCUGUCUCUCUCCCUCCAAAGGGCGCUGACUGAUACGGGACCCUCUGUGUCUCUGCCUCAGGGCCAGGCUCCAGCCCCCGAGAGCCCCUGGUGGCUCAGCCUCUUCCCCACAGCCCUGCCCUCCACGAGGACGCUUUCGGCCCUUGGUGCUCUCUGUGUUACGGAUUUAUAGGGCUGUGCCCUGGGCCUGGACCUAAGGGGGUCGGGAGCAAUGUCUGGACUUCCUGCCACCCUCAAGGUACGCAGGUAUGUGUGUGCUCAGGAUGAUUUAUGUAGAGGAAACUGGGGGGAAACUCCUUGCAAAUAAACCUCUGAGAUCCUACAGACCUCAGGGGGAUGG
rnacentral:lncRNA from 1 species